rnacentral:rRNA from 1 species
UACGGGGGGGGGCAAGCGUUGUUCGGAAUUACUGGGCGUAAAGGGCUCGUAGGCGGCCAACUAAGUCAGACGUGAAAUCCCUCGGCUUAACCGGGGAACUGCAUCUGAUACUGGAUGGCUUGAGAUUGGGAGAGGGAUGCGGAAUUCCAGGUGUAGCGGUGAAAUGCGUAGAUAUCAGGAGGAACACCAAUUGCGAAGGCAGCUCGCUGGGACGUUACUGACGCUGAGACGCGAAAGCGUGGGGAGCAAACAGG